AACUCUUGUGUUUGAUGUCCUGGAAUAUGGGUGUCCGAUCCUUAUGGACUAACUGAAAAAGUACAAUCUGUAAAUCCAGCGUGGGGCGCGGAAGGUUUUGAUCCUUUUGU